AGAGUUUGAUCCUGGCUCAGAACGAACGCUGGCGGCACGCUUAACACAUGCAAGUCGGACGGGGUGUGAGAGCUUGCUCUUACACUUAGUGGCGGACGGGUGAGUAACACGUGGGAACAUGUCCUGUAGUGGUGGAUAGCUCUGGGAAACUGGAGGUAAUACAGCAUAAGCUCGAGAGAGGAAAGAGGAAUCGCUAUAGGGGUGGCCCGCGGCUGAUUAGGUAGUUGGUGGGGUAAAGGCCUACCAAGCCGAGGAUCAGUAGCUGGUCUGAGAGGAUGGACAGCCACACUGAAACUGAGAUACGGUUCAGACUCCUACGGGAGGCAGCAGUGGGGAAUAUUGGACAAUGGGGGCAACCCUGAUCCAGCGAUGCCGCGUGAGUGAAGAAGGUCUUAGGAUUGUAAAGCUCUUUUGACGGGGAAGAUGAUGACGGUACCCGUAGAAUAAGCACCGGCUAACUCUGUGCC
rnacentral:rRNA from 1 species